rnacentral:lncRNA from 1 species
GGGGAAAAAAGUGGGGUGAGGGGACAACCUAAACGUCCGCCAGGACAGGACCAGUGAAUUUAUAGGUCACCUUACGGUGUAACACUCUAUCGACCUUUCUUCACCAAGGCCCUAAAUCCAUGACAUAGCUUGUGGCCUUUGGGCUUAAAGUGAGAAAGGCAAGAUGGACAGCAGAGUGCAUAGUUUAUCUCUUUUGUGUAAACAAAAAUGAUACCUAUCUGGUUGCUUAUCUGUGCAGAAUGUUAGGUGAGCCAAGGCUGGCCAUGGGGCCCAGUCUGGAGCUUUGAGAUGAGUAACAGGAAUAUGCCUCAAUUCCUGGGGUCCAGCUCAUGCAGAUAAAGGCCAGAGGCAGGUCCUCUUUUGGUGCAAGCCAGGCAAGACUGGUCUUUCUUGCCUCGGGCCCUUUCCCUUCUCAUAGAUGGAGCCCCGCUAAUUUGUCAGGUUGAGGAUGGAUUUAGCGUUUGUUCCACGGGAAUGAAGUCAGUAGGAAAGCAAACCUGUGGGAAUUGCCAAUUGGUGCCGACUCCUCCUCCACAUGGCUGCUGUCCCACCAGCCCUCAUCUGGGACUGUUUCAGGCCUUUGCUGUGCGUUUACAAAUAAAACCAGGCUGCUCUGGGCACGCUUCCGAGGUGAUGCCUGGAGCCUCGCACACUUGGGCCAAAGAUUGAUACGGUGUGUGCACGCCUGGGCCGAUACACCUCUUUUGAUCUGUUUCCGAAGGCAACCUUUGGUCUCCUGCUUCACGUGAUUGAUUAAGUUAGGAUCUCUUUUAGGAAUUCUCCGCACUCAUGCCUCCUCACCAGCUCACAGCGAGCCCUGCCAAAUUUUACUCUCCUUUUAUGCUGCAGACUGUUCUGUUCCAACUGACUAAAUGGAAACUGUGUUCUUAAUAUGCAACCCGUUACCUAGUCCUUUACAUGCAAUCAGUUACCUUGGAAUUCCUGUUUUGCAUUUAGUAUGGUGGGGCACCCUCUUAUCACAUCAUCAGUCAUGUUUCUAGCAAGGUUUUGGCCUAUGAGUAGGGAGUAGCUUUGCUUCAGAGCCUUCCUUCCCCUGUGCAUCCCUGCCCUUCCCCCGACCCCCCGCCUCCUGCCCAUUUUGGUGUGAGAGUCACUGGGGAAUCAGGGUGAUAGCAUUUGUAUUAAAACAAGCCAGCGCACAUGGCUGUAGACCCUUAAGGAUCGUGGAAUGUAAGCAGACUCAUGCUAUGUUCUUUAGGCGCCGGCUGGAGAAGGGACCCUGGUUCGACGGGUCCUGGUGGAAUGGCGAUCCAAGGUGUUUCGAAGAGUUUUCCGGUCAUACAGACCUGAUUUAAACUCCUGCUCAAGCACAAUGUUUGCUGCUUUUUUAAAAAAAAAAAAAAAAAGAGGGGGGGAUCCUAUCUUCCAUCUUGCACACGUGGGGAGGGAGACAGAAGCCCACAAGUGAAAGUAGAAGCACGUUCCCAGAUCCAUUUCUAAGACCUCCUUCUAUCACCUGGAACUUACAUUCUCUUUUCAAAGUGGCCCAUCCUGUAACCUACGUGAGACUGGCCCUCAGUGAAAUGUCCUAUCUGGAGCUCUUCCCUCCUUUGCUGUGGUGCUCACAACUCCUGGUACCCCACUCACUGUAUACCCAAGCCUUUCCUUCGGUCUCGCUGGACCUCUGGCGACGUCUUGUUCAGAUGUUCCAGUCUGGUCUUAGCUCUGCUCUGAGAGAUGCAAGCUGGAUAAAAGCAGUAAUGGUGCAGACCCCUCAAGAAGGGAGGGAGGUCCAGCCAUACCUCCUCGUGACGUCCUUUUCCAAACUCGUGCCAUCUGGGUUUCAUUUUAUUAGGGGAGCUAGAGGUGUGCAGGGAGGGCUGGUUAGGAAAUGAGGCUACGUCUGGCAGGGUGUUGGUGACUAUGGUAGGGAUUUUGGAUCUUAUUUUAGGCACAAGGAAAAGCCAGGAAAGGGUUUGGGGUAGUGAACUGACAUGGUUUGAUUUAUGAUUUUUUUAAUUUAUUUAUUAUUAUUAUUGUGCUUUUUAGGGCUGCACCUGUAGCAUAUGGAGACUCCCAGGCUAGGGGUCCAGUCGGAGCCACAGCCAUAGCAACACAGGGUCCUAUACCACAGCUCACUGCAAUGCCAGAUCCUUAACCCACUGAGCAAGGCCAGGGAUCGAACCCGCACCUCAUGAAUACUAGCUGGCUUCAUCUCCGCUGAGCCACAAUAGAAAUUCCAUGAUUUAUGAUUUUAAAACAUCCCUAGGACUGCUGUGUGGAGAAGAGAGAAUAGGGGACAAGACGGCUACAAGAAGAGCAGCUGAAUGGCUGCAGCACUCAGGCAAGAGAUGUUGACUGGCUUUGUGUGCUGUUCAAGCGGUGAGAAGUCAUCAGACUCAGGAUGUGCUUUGAAGAUAAAGCCCACAGGCCUCGUGAAGGACAGCAUGUCAGGUGUGAGGGAGAAUGAGCACUCAGGGCCUGAGCAGCUGGGUGAAUGGCCAUGCUGUUUACUAAGAAGGGGAGAGGCGGGGGCAGAGCUGGUUUGGGACAAGAAUCAAGAGGUAGGUUUUAAGCAUGGAAACUUUGGGAUAUUUAUCAGACAUCCAAGUAUCCAGAGCUCAGGAAGAGGCUGAGUCUAGACAUACAAAUAUGAGCAUCCUUAGCACAUUGAUAAUAUCGGGGCCAUGGGUGGAGUUACUCAGAGAUUGCAUGUAGGUAGAGAAGAGAGGAGGUCCAAGGACUGAACAUGGGUCACUCCUACACUUAUAAAUUUGGACGAGGAGAAAGAGCUACCCCCAAGCUCACUGCCCUGCUCUAGCAGUUUUGUGGAAGUCUCUGCCUGGUUUCCUGGGGCCUCCCAGUCCAGAACUAAGCCCUAUAUAUUAGUGACAGGCUCCUGACCCAAAAUGACCUUGAGUAUCUCGUGGAUUUAGUUCUGGCCCAGGUCCUGGUGGCUUCUUCCUUUAAGCUGGAACCAGAGGUCCCAAGCGGCCGUUUGGCCUCCUUUGCAACCCGGGAGCCUGCCUCUAGACUGAGACCAGCAAACAAAUGGCUUCACCCACUUAUGCUACUGUCUUUCCAUUUUGUGUCUGAACCACAGAGUUGAUUAUUUUGCCUUAGAAAGAAGAUAUGAAUAUGUUGUGACUUCUUAACUUUAUCUGUCAUGCUAUGUGCUUGGGGACUGUGGAGCCAGACGUCUGCCAGGCAAGGGGCAUUGCCAUUUUGCCUGGGGCACCAACAUUUUGAUUUUUAAGAGCUUGUCUAUGGUUCAGCCCCUAAGUCACUCACUUAUAUAAUGUUUAUUGACAGAUAACUGUGAACAAUUAUGAAAUACAGAGUAAGAUAUGGUUCUUGCUCUGCAGGAGCUUAAAAUCAAGCCAGGCAGUUGAAAGCCACAAACGUCACCUGAGGAAUGACAUCCGAGUGUGCAUUCCUCUGUGGAUCUGCGCAGGCACAGUGCCGAGCACAUAGAAGAUUCUCAACACCUGUGAAAGGAACAAGCCCACCGGGGUGAUCAUUGCCCAGAGGCACAGAUUGUCAGUCACAGAUGCCACCAGAGCCAGGGAGGAGGAGAAGGCAAGGGCCGCGCGCGGUCGGAGAAAGUGGAGGGAGAUGACAUUGGAAGCCACGAGAAGGAGAUGGAUGUUUUAGAGGGACCCCGGGCCUGCUGAUGCGCAAGGCAGUCUGUGCCUGCCCGGGCAUGGAGGCACUGCCCUGGAGUGAUCUUGGCCGUCCCAGCAGGGACACUGCCAGUGUACCAGCCCGUGCAUUAUCCCGCAAGACAGGAGGAAGUCAAGCUCCAUCCUUCAGACCUGGGCCCCUGAGCCUAGGUGGCUGCCGAUGCUGCCGAGGGGCAAACACAGAUGUUCACAGAGCCCAGUGGAGGACCUGGACGUUGGGAGGAGACGGCACUUCAGUCACUCAUGCGAACCCAUCUGAGUGCUGCAGGGGUCUUGGCUCCAAUUCGUUUUAUUUCCUCCCUCACAAGAACAAGAUCCCAAUUUAAAACAAAUGCUCAGUUUACCAAACAGAAAAGGAAAACAGUAGAUGAUAAGACAAAACAAAAAAGAGCAUGUUCUCAGCCAUCUUUGUUCUAUUAUCGCCAUAUUUUGUCUUCCAAAAGAAGCAUCUUUACAUGCAAAUCCAUUUUUGUAUAUUUUGACUGAUUGCUGGCAAGAUAGAGAGACAUAAAUAUUUCUGGAAAUGGA